rnacentral:rRNA from 1 species
AUGGCCCUCCGCGCGCUCGACAACACGCUGCCGGCCGCCGUGGCGGACCAGCGCCCCAAGAAGGCCGCCAAGCUGUUCGCCGUCACCCGCUCCCCCACCGGCAGCGGCGGCAACGGCAAGAAGCGCAACGACGAGAACUCUGCGCCGACGCCCAAGCCCGCGUCGCCGGUUGCGGCUGCAGCGGAGCCCGCCGUGGAGUACGUCCGGUCCGAGGACCUGCUGCCCGUGCCCGCGCCCAAGGCCCGCGCCGCCGGCCUCCUGGCGGGGCUCGACUCCAAGGACUGGGUCAAGGUCUGCGAGGCCCUCAACGACGCCCGCCGCCUCGCCAUCCACCACCCCGCCCUCCUCGCCCCCAUCCUGGAGAAGGUGGUGCUGGGGAUGGUGAAGACGAUGAAGAACCCGCGGAGCGCGGUGCUCAAGACCUCCGUGAUGGCCUGCACGGACGUCUUCGCGGCCUUCGGCAACCUCAUCUCCUCGGCGUCCGCGGACGCGUUCGACAAGCUGCUGCUGCAGCUGCUGCUCAAGGCGUCGCAGGACAAGCGGUUCGUGUGCGAGGAGGCCGAGAAGGCGAUGCGCGCCAUGGCCACCUCCAUGCCGCCCCUGCCGUUGCUGAAGAAGCUUAAAUCCUACGUCCACCACGCCAACCUCCGGGUCCGCGCCAAGGCCGCCGUCGCCAUGGCGCACUGCGCCGCCAGGAUGGACGUGGAGACGAUGAAGGACUUCGGGCUGCCGGCGCUGCUGCAGGUGGCCGCCGAGCUGCUGAACGACCGGCUGCCGGAGGCUCGCGAGGCCGCCCGCAGCAUCGUCGGCUCCACGCACGCCGCCUUCUUCUUCAAGGAGGCCGCCGAGAAGGAGCAGGAGCAGGAGAAGAUGGAGAAUGAGCUCCAGGAGCAGGAGGAGGUGAAGGAGAAUGAGGAAGAAAUGAAGAAGAAGGACGAGCUGUCUGCCGUGGCGGCUGCGUGGGAGAGCCUGUGCGCGCUGAGCCUGUCGCCCAUCUCGGCGCAGGCCGUCGCCAAGAUCGUCUCGCAGCCGCAGCCGCAGCCGCAGCCGCAAUAA